rnacentral:rRNA from 1 species
GGCCUCUUGUGUGUAUAUGAGGUCUGACCUGCCCAGUGAAAUAGAUUUUAACGGCCGCGGUAUUUUGACCGUGCAAAGGUAGCAUAAUCAUUAGUCUUUUAAUAGGAGGCUGGUAUGAAGGGUUUGACGAGUUGCUGACUGUCUCAUUUAAUUUGAUAUUAGAAUUUAACUUUUCAGUUAAAAGGCUGAAAUUUAUUUGGAAGACGAGAAGACCCUAUAGAGCUUUAUAUGUAUAUUUUUAUUUGAACUUUUGGUUAAUUUUAUUCUUUUAAUUUAUAUAUGUAUUUUGUUGGGGUGACAAAAAUAUAUAAUUAACUUUUUUAUUUAUUAAACAUUGAUUAAUGAGUAAUAGAUCCAAUCUUAUUGAUUGUUAGAUUAAGUUACC